rnacentral:lncRNA from 1 species
GGGGGGGGGGACACAUUUUGAGAAAGUAAAAUCAAUGAUAAUUGGAAUCUGGUUAGGAAGCAGAGAAUGGUCCACAGGAUGAUACUCAUAUUUGGGUUGGGUGGAUAACAGUCAUUAAGUGACAAAAUUCAGAAGGGUAUACUCAAGACAUUCAAGUAGAAAUAUAUAGUAGGUGAUAGAAUUUUAAAAUCUGCAGCCAGUAAACAGUGUCAGACACACAAAGAAGAAAAAUCAAGAGUCUCUUGUUUUAGUAAUUAGGAAGUCAACAGUACCCUGAAAGCAGAUUCAGUGGCAAAACUGGUGAGUUUAGUGAGUAGGAGAUGAGAUGAAUUAAAUCUCUAGGCUUUGGGAAAAUCUGACAGUGAAUGAAUGGAAAAUAACCCUAGGUAGUCACUACAAUGUAAGAGAGGGUUGAGAAACAUUUUUAAGGUGAGAGCUACUUGACCAUGCUCAUAGACAUCAGGGAAAUAAAGGAGAAACUGAUCAACUAAGAAAGGAAAGAAUGGGGAAAGGGUCUAGAGCAGAGCUGGAAUGGUAAGUCUCAAGUAGAAAGGAAGGAAAUGAUUCUUGUUUGAGAAUGGAAAAAAA